AGGUUGUGACGGGUAACGGGGAAUCAGGGUUCGAUUCCGGAGAGGGAGCCUGAUAAACGGCUACCACAUCUAAGGAAGGCAGCAGGCGCGCAAAUUACCCAAUCCAGACAUUGGGAGGUAGUGACGAGAAAUACCAAAGUGUGCCGUAAAAGGUUUCACUAUUGGAAUGAACGUAACAUAGUACCUUCGCUGAGUACCUACUGGAGGGCAAGUCUGGUGCCAGCAGCCGCGGUAAUUCCAGCUCCAGUAGUGUAUAUCAAAAUUGUUGCGGUUAAAACGCUCGUAGUUGGAUUACCAAAGUCUGGCGUCAAUUGAGCAUUCGUUUGAUUGGCGUCGGGCUUUUUUAUCGCAAGAACCACUUGUGCACUUAACUGUGUGUGGGUGGCCACUUGCGGAGCGUGCCUUGAAUAAAGCACAGUGCUCAAAGCAGGCGUAACGCUUGAAUGUUAUAGCAUGGAACGAAUAACCUGACCUAGUUCAGUUAGUUGGUUCUCUGAACCGGGUCCUGAUUAAAAGGGACAUUUGAGGGCGUUAGUACUUGGUGGCGAGAGGUGAAAUUCUUAGACCCACCAAAGACUCACUAAUGCGAAAGCAUUCGCCAAGAAUGUUUUCAUUGAUCAAGAACGAAAGUUAGAGGUUCGAAGACGAUCAGAUACCGUCCUAGUUCUAUA
rnacentral:rRNA from 1 species